rnacentral:rRNA from 1 species
GACGAACCGUCCUAACGUUAUUCGGAAUUACUGGGCUUAAAGCGCGUGUAGGCGGGUCGGCACGUCCGUCGCUGAAAUCCCACGGCUCAACCGUGGAACCGGCGUGGAUACGGCCGACCUGGAGGGGUGUAGGGGGACCUGGAACUUCCGGUGGAGCGGUGAAAUGCGUUGAGAUCGGAAGGAACGCCCGUGGCGAAAGCGAGGUCCUGGACACUUUCUGACGCUGAGACGCGAAAGCCAGGGGAGCAAACGGG